rnacentral:lncRNA from 1 species
AGGUAGUGACUUAAAACAAUAGUCCCUUAUUACUUCAUGAUUUGGCAGGCUGGCAGUCUAGGCUAGACUCAGCUGGGAGGCGUUCUGGAUCUAGGCUGAGCUCCCUUAUGCAUCUGGAGUCAGCUGUGGGUCAGCAGAUGCCUCUGCUUCUGGGUUUAGCUGAAUUGGGAAGUAUGAAGAGAUAAAAGCAUGACGCAACUGACGUAUCCCUUGGUUUCGCUUUCCUCAUUGAACAUUAUGGGACACUAAAGCCACAAUGGUUCUGUGAAUGCAAAUCGCUCAUCAAUGGGUGCAUAAAACAAACAAAACCAAAGAAGCAACUUCCAUCUCAG